rnacentral:SRP_RNA from 1 species
GCCGGGCACGAUGGCUCAUGCCUGUAAUCCCAGCACUUUGGGAGGCCGAGGUGGGAGGAUCACCUGAGGUCGGGAGUUCAAGACCAGCCUGACCAACAUGGAGAAAUCCCGUCUCUA